AACAAAUCCCGGACGAGCCCCCAGUGUUACUUUCUCCGCUUCGGCCAUUCUGACCGGGGUGUAACAGCUUGUUAGUUCACGUUCGGGCAAUGAUUAGUGGAACAAAGUUUACCAAUAUAUGUGUAGCAGUAUGAUCUGCCCUCCCCUGACGUCAUCCAGCAAACUGGACUUGGGGUAUGGUGCUUAUUUCCAAUAGUACCGUGAGUAACUGAUCUAAAAGUGGCGUGCGACAGGGUAGCUACUACCUGACUGUCACUAUCAUUGUUUUCUUUUUUUGGGUUUAUUGUGUUUGAUUUAAUUGUUUAUUUUCUAUUUUUUUUCUUCUUUUGUUUGUUAUUAUUAUCCUUAUUGAUCUUUCUUUUUGGUUUCUAUUUUCUUGUUAUUGGUUUGAGUUUGUAGUAUAAUUUCUUUUGUUUUCUGAUCAACCCAGUUGAAUUAUUUUUCUUUAUUUUCUUUUGUGACAUGCAUCCCCUUUUUGUAUAUGUGUUUCUGUGAUCAUUUUUACUGGCGUUCUGCCUAUUUCAGCCUGCUGGUAACCCAGUAGCUGGGGCGCCCUAAGUAACCAGCAGCUUUUGGAUAGUUGACUGUGUUGAGAAUCAGGUUGUUGUAUGUGAUGUUUGGUCCAACUUAUGUGUUUUAAAUUAUGUGUUUGUUUCUUUUCCCUUCAGGAGUGGGGCGGCCGGCGGCAGCAGUGUAGCAUCUUGUGGUGGUGGGCCUUUUACCUGCAGUGUUCACAGUGGGGUGUGCCGUGCUGUGGUGUGCUGUGGUGCGUGUGUGCACGCGUGAGUGCUGUGUUCUCUCUGCUUAAAGGACGCCAGGCCUUCCCCCACCCUGAAGUGUGAUGUCUUGUUUUUUUUGUUUUUAACUAUUUGAUACAGUGAAUAAAAUUGAAUCUGUUUUGAAUAAAGUCUUCUUAAACUCAACUCUGGUCCGAUACCUGACCCAGUCGUGACGAACCUGUGUGCUUUAAUGUUGAGGGCAGUCCCGGAUAUAGCCUCCGGGUGGCGUAGUCUAUAUAAUUAGUCCGUAACGCCACAUAUGCAACUUUACUGAUUCUUGCAGGGUAAAGUUUUCAGGGUUACAGUUCACAAUAACUCCUGGGUGGAUCGACUUGAAUGAGGUAACAGAAAAACAACGGAGAAACUUCCUUUUGCACAGCACAGCGAGAGAACAUUUUCAUCACACGAGCACGCUUGAUCUGAACUACAUUACCCAUGAAGCAUUUCGCUAAGGACUACAACACCCGUAAAUAGUGGUCUUAAAGCGAUAUCUCUUAUUUCCCCUCUCCCGCAACAAUGCUUAGUAAAUCACGCUGAGUUUUAAAACAGAUAGGGUGACCAUAUUUCUCACAGUGGAAUACGGGACGGACGGAGUUGCCAUUGACAAGCAUUAUACGACUGACAGACUGCAACGGUUGGAGUUAAAAAUCAUCAUUUGUGUUCUAUUGAAGAAACAAAGUCACCUACAUCUUGGAUGCCCUGGGGGUACUCUUUACACCUCUGCGGUUUGGUGAAAAGACAAGAAAAUAUGACGAGGCAUAUCUCGCCUUCAGAUUCACCAGUACAAAGGUGGAGGCUUUAAAUAAGCCCUUCUGGUUUUCUGCCUCUCCCUGCACAGUAUAUGGAUUGUACUUUUGUUUUUAUUGUAUAUAUUUUAUAUUUGUGCAAAUAAAACUAAACCAAAAACCAAUGAUGCUGACAAUUCAGCUUUGAUCAUAGAAAUACAUUAUAUGUUAAAACAUUCAAAUAUGUAUUAAAUUGAAAUAUUUCACAAUAUUACUGUGUUUACUGUAUUUUUAAUGAAUAAAUGCAGCUUUGGUGAGCAUAAGCACUUUCAAAAAAAAAUUAAUUUUUGGUUGAACUGUCCUUGUAAUUUAUUAAGUGUGUUCAUUUGUAUUGUUCAAUAUUACCUUGUCCUCCUCCUCCUUUUUACAGUAGACUCUGGAAUUUUCCUUUCCUUCAGAAAUAAAGAUAAAGUCCUCCAUUCUGCAAUAAUAUUUUAAUGGAAAUUAACAAGAAUAAACUGAGGCUGGUAGGCCAGUAUUAGCCUAGACCUAGUAUGUAAGCCAGCCACGGCAAUCUGUUAGCUAACCUGGAAAAUGGAAAAGUUUGAUCUCUAUGCUUAUUAUGUGCUGUGUAUGACAAAGCAAGCUCUUAACACACUCAGUUCUGGUGCAUUGAUAUUAAACUACUGGAUAUCAUAUUACUUAUAGAGUGUGAUAUAGGGACUGGUGUUUGCUGAAAGAAUCAGAUCUCAUGCAUGUUUGGGGUCCUGUCAGGUGUCUGGCGAGAAAAUCAGGAUUGUGAGAUGUAAACUCAGAAUUCUGAGGAAAAAAACACUGAAUUACGAGAUCAAAAUUUGCAGUUCUGAGAAAAAAAGUCUGAAUUGCGCAAUGUUAACUCACAAUUCUCUCGCUGUGUGUGGCAGAGACAUGCAGCCCACUGAAAUGGCAGUUCUGUACAUCAUGUCAAAAGUAAUAAUAAAAAUGUCCUGGUGGACUAUAAAAGCUUUGCAGCAGUUUCUUUCUGUCCAGUGACCACUUCAGCUGAAGGAAUCAACAUCUAUUACUCAUCCAGAAGCAGCAGCAGCACUGACUACAGCUCUCGAGAAUAAAAGACAAUCUUGAGAAGAAAACAGAUGCUAAUAUAAAGAACAUGAGAAGGGAGAAGCUUAUCCGCAAAAGUCAAGAGGUUCAUGAAUUGAUGAAAAACAACUUCCGAGCGACCAACCAACCAGUGAGGCUCUGAACAAGCAAUUAGGCUUGUCAUUCAGUCUGAUCGCCC